rnacentral:rRNA from 1 species
AACAGGGAUUGCCCUAGUAACGGCGAGUGAAGCGGCAACAGCUCAAAUUUGAAAUCUGGCCUCGCGGCCCGAGUUGUAAUUUGCAGAGGAUGUUUCUGGCGCGGUGCCUUCCGAGUUCCCUGGAACGGGACGCCACAGAGGGUGAGAGCCCCGUAUGGUAGGACACCAAGCCUGUGUGAAACUCCUUCGACGAGUCGAGUAGUUUGGGAAUGCUGCUCAAAAUGGGAGGUAAAUCUCUUCUAAAGCUAAAUACCGGCCAGAGACCGAUAGCGCACAAGUAGAGUGAUCGAAAGAUGAAAAGCACCUUGAAAAGGGGGUUAAACAGUACGUGAAAUUGUUGAAAGGGAAGCGCUUGUGACCAGACUUGCGCCGGGCGGUUCAUCCGGGGUUCUCCCCGGUGCACUCCGCCCGGUUCAGGCCAGCAUCGGUUCUCGUUGGGGGAUAAGAACGGCAGGAACGUGGCCCUCCCUCGGGGGGGUGUUAUAGCCUGUCGUACGAUACCCUGACGGGGACCGAGGUUCGCGCUCCGCGCAAGGAUGCUGGCGUAAUGGUCAUCAGCGACCCGUCUUGAAACACGGACCAAGGAGUCGUCCAUUAGAGCGAGCGUUUGGGUGUAAAACCCGCACGCGUAAUGAAAGUGAAAUUAGGUGAGAGCUUCGGCGCAUCAUCGACCGAUCCUGAUGUUCUCGGAUGGAUUUGAGUAAGAGUUUUAACGGACGGACCCGAAAGACAGUGAACUAUGCUUGUAUAGGGUGAAGCCAGAGGAAACUCUGGUGGAGGCUCGCAGCGGUUCUGACGUGCAAAUCGAUCGUCAAAUAUGAGCAUGGGGGCGAAAGACUAAUCGAAC